CAAUCGAAGCAGUGAACUUAAGCCCCAGUAAACGGCGGCCGUAACUAUAACGGUCCUAAGGUAGCGAAAUUCCUUGUCGGGUAAGUUCCGACCCGCACGAAAGGCGUAACGAUUUGGGCACUGUCUCAACAACAGACUCGGUGAAAUUGUAAUUCCGGUGAAGAUGCCGGAUACCUGCGACAGGACGGAAAGACCCCAUGGAGCUUUACUGUAGCUUGACAUUGGGUCUUGGUACUACAUGUACAGGAUAGGUGGGAGGCUUUGAAACCAGGACGCCAGUUUUGGCGGAGCCAUCCUUGGGAUACCACCCUUGUAGUACUGGGACUCUAACCAUAGGCCAUGAAUCUGGUCUUGGGACACUGUCAGGUGGGCAGUUUGACUGGGGCGGUCGCCUCCCAAAAGGUAACGGAGGCGCUCAAAGGUUCUCUCAGUACGGUCGGAAAUCGUACGUAGAGUGUAAAGGCAAAAGAGAGCUUGAUUGCAAGACAUACAGGUCGAGCAAGGAUGAAAAUCGGACUUAGUGAUCCGGUGGUUCUGCGUGGAAGGGCCAUCGCUCAACGGAUAAAAGCUACCCUGGGGAUAACAGGCUUAUCUCCCCCAAGAGUCCACAUCGACGGGGAGGUUUGGCACCUCGAUGUCGGCUCAUCACAUCCUGGGGCUGUAGUAGGUCCCAAGGGUUGGGCUGUUCGCCCAUUAAAGUGGUACGCGAGCUGGGUUCAGAACGUCGUGAGACAGUUCGGUCCCUAUCCGUCGCAGGCGUAGGAAAUUUGAGAAGACCUGUCCUUAGUACGAGAGGACCGGGAUGGACG
rnacentral:rRNA from 1 species